rnacentral:lncRNA from 1 species
AUACUAGGAUUAGAGGCAUGUACUGCUAUGCUAGGUUUAUGUGCGUAUUGGAGAUAGGGCUUCAUGAAUGUUGGGCAAGCACUCUGUCAACCAAGCUGCAUUUCUAGCACAUAGCCUAUUUAAAAAAAAAAAAAAAUUAGGGGUUGGAGAGAUGGCUCAGCAGUUAAAUACGCUGGCUGCUCUUCCAGAUAUUCUGUUUAAUUCCCAACACCCACAUGAUGGCCCACAACCAUUUAUAAUGGGUUCUGAUGCCCUCUUCUGUCACGAAGGCAUAUGUACAAAUAGAGCACUCAUACACAUAAAUGAAUGAAUGAAUAAAAAUUAAGUAAAUAAGUAAAAAAAAAAUCUGUUGGUCAUGGUGAUGCAAGCCUUGAUCCCAGCACUUGAGAAGCAAAGGCAAAUCUCUUGAGUUUGAGGCCAGCCUGGUCUCCAUACUUAUAGGACACCAGAGCUACAUAGUGAAACCUGAUCUCAAAACAACAACAGACCACAUUUAUUUACUGUGUACAUACUUGUGUGCUUACGUGGAGGUCAGAAAACAAGUUAGGGAAAACAAGUUAGCUCUUUUCUUGCCCAAAUGGGUCUGGUUAUUGAACUAGGCUGGUCUAGCUUUUGAGGCAAUCACCUUUGCCUUCUGAGCCAUCUCCCUGGCCUAUACUGCUAUUUUUAAAGGCACCUGAGUGUCCUCAGAGUUUGGUUUGUAAGGAUCCUUGAGCCAAUCUCCCCAGAUUUCAAGGAUGAUUGAUAGCAGAGUGGCUGUACACUUGUUUAACUUUAAAGCUGUAGACUAGGAUUAGGAAGAGAGUUCUCUUAUUUGAACAAUAUCAGUUAAUAAUUGCCCAACAAAACUGCUCGUUGUUUAAGAUACUUUUUCUAAGAAUUAUGAUCUUUUAAUCAGGACUUAGGCAGAUAAUCUUUUUUUUUUUUUUUUUUUUUAAUUUUUCGAGACAGGGUUUCUCUGUGUUCUCCUGGCUGUCCUGGAACUCACUGUGAAACCAGGCUGGCCUCAAACUCAGAAAUUGGCCUGUCUCUGCCUCCCAAGUGCUGGGAUUAAAGGUGUGCGCCACCACGCCCAGCUAGGCAGAUAAUCUUUAACAGUGUACAAAAACUUUCAGAUUCCCUUAUGGACAGUCAAAGCCUCUAUAAAAUACAAUGAAGUUGUCACCUGAUGCUCUGAACAGGCAUGCUUACAAUGAGGGUUGGCAUUUCAUUUUAACAUUGUUAAAGUUUCACAAGUUGACCUUGACUUUGAGGAAAUGAAAUGAAAAUGGCAGAAUUAUCAGUUUGAAGUGCCACAGAAGGAAAUACUAUGGGACUAGAGAGAGCUGACUUAAUGGUUUAAGCACUGGCUGAUUUUUUUCUCCCCCUUCAGUAUCAGAAUUUGGUUACCAGCACUUGCAUGGCUCAAAACUUCCUGUAGCUUCAGCUCCUAGAGCACCUACACAUACAUGUGUAUUCAUCUCACACACACACCCAUCUUUUGAAGAUCAUGAUUACAGUGUCACUGCAAAGCUUAGAUUGUCUGACACUGUCAGGACUGAUUUUAGGAAGUUGGAGAGAUAGCUCAGUGGUUAAGAGCCCUGGCUGUUCUAGAGGAUUCAGGUUAGAUUCCUAGCCUCCACAUGCCAGCUCACAACCAUCUGUAACUAUAGUUCCAGGGGCUCCAGUGCCCUCUUUUGCAAAUCCUCUGUGGUUGCUGCAUACACAUAGUAUAGGCAAAACAGUGACAUACAC